UACGGAGGAUGCAAGCGUUAUCCGGAAUUAUUGGGCGUAAAGCGCUCGCAGGUGGUUCGUUGCGUCGUGCGUGAAAGACCCCGGCUCAACUGGGGGAUGUCGUGCGAUACGGGCGGACUGGAGGCCAGUAGGGGGAUGCGGAAUUCCGGGUGUAGUGGUGGAAUGCGUAGAGAUCCGGAGGAACACCAGCGGCGAAGGCGGCAUCCUGGACUGGUCCUGACACUCAGGAGCGAAAGCGUGGGGAGCGAUCCGG
rnacentral:rRNA from 1 species